UAUGAAGAAAAGAUGUUUAAUCGACUCACAAUUCCACAGGCUGUGUAAGAGGCAUGGCUGGGGAGGCCUCAGGAACCUUACAAUCAUGGUGGAAGGUAAAGGGGAAGCAAGCACAUCUUCACAUGGAGCAGGAGAGACAGAGCCAAGGGGGAAGCGCUGCACACUUUUAAACAACCAGAUCUGGAACCUCCCUCUCUGUUACUACUCCCUUUGGAUUUAUCCAGUAGUCUUAGACGUCACCAGGGCCAAGCCAUGCAUAUAUAGAUUGAAAUGUUGUUUUCAAAACCUACUCAAGCUAUCUCUUGAUGAACAAGAUUAGUACCAUCUGAUUACAACCCUGAAGGGUCUAGAUUCCUUAUUCUGCAAAAUGGAUUUAUUGUAUCUCAAGGCACUGUGAAGUUUGCAGUAGCAUGUAUAGGCAAAAAGGAAAGUCCAAAGAGAGGAAAAGAAAGCAGGAGAGAUCUGAAAUGACACAAGAAGUGACUCAGAAUGGGAAGAUUGUGCACUCCUUGUUGUCCCCUAAUGCACAUGGAAGUAUGCAACAGAAGCUGUGAAAAUAACCCAGGUGCGAAGGCCAAUGGUUUUCAUACAUUUCAAGCUUCUCUCCGUGAUGUCCUUUUCCAUGUAAAAUCUAAAUCAGG
rnacentral:lncRNA from 1 species